UACGAAGGGGGCUAGCGUUGUUCGGAAUUACUGGGCGUAAAGGGCUCGUAGGUGGCCAACUAAGUCGGACGUGAAAUCCCUCGGCUUAACCGGGGAACUGCAUCCGAUACUGGAUGGCUUGAGUUCGGGAGAGGGAUGCGGAAUUCCGGGUGUAGCGGUGGAAUGCGUAGAGAUCCGGAAGAACACCAGUGGCGAAGGCGGCCCGCUGGGCAGUGGGCUGACGGCUGAGGCGCGGACAGCGUGG
rnacentral:rRNA from 1 species